rnacentral:rRNA from 1 species
CCUGCCGGAGGCUACCGCUAUUGGAGUUCGAUUAAGCCAUGCGAGUCGCGAGUCUUAGGGACUCGGCGUACCGCUCAGUAACACGUGGGUAACCUGCCCUAUGCUGGGAGAUAACCUCGGGAAACUGAGAAUAAUACCCCAUAGUUCACUACGCCUGGAACGGUGAGUGGAUGAAAGCUCCGGCGGCAUAGGAUGGGCCUGCGGCGUAUCAGGUUGUAGGGGGUGUAACGUACCCUCUAGCCCUCUACGCGUACGGGUGUUGGGAGACAUAGCCCGGAGAUGGAUUCUGAGACACGAAUCCAGACCCUACGGGGUGCAGCAGGCGCGAAAACUUGACAAUGCGAGAAAUCGUGAUCAGGGAACUCCAAGUGGCUGGGGUAAGACCCAGUCUUUUCUUGACUCUUCAAAGGUCUUGGAAUAAGGGGUGGGUAAGGACGGUGCCAGCCGCCGCGGUAAUACCGGCGCCUCAAGUGGUAGUCGCUUUUAUUGGGCCUAAAACGUCCGUAGCCGGUCUGAUACAUUCGUGGGUAAAUCAACUAGCUCAACUAGUUGAAUUCUGCGAGGACGGUCAGACUUGGGACCGGGAGAGGUGUGGGGUACGCUCAGGGUAGGGGUAAAAUCCUGUCAUCCUAAGCGGACCACCUGUUGCGAAGGCGCCACACUAGAACGGAUCCGACGGUCAGGGACGAAGCCUAGGGGCACGAACCGGAUUAGAUACCCGGGUAGUCCUAGGUGUAAACGCUGUGGACUUGAUGUUGGGGGCGCUCCGAGCGCUUCCAGUGUCGAAGCGAAGGUGAUAAGUCCACUGCCUGGGAAGUACGGUCGCAAGGCUGAAACUUAAAGGAAUUGGCGGGGGAGCACCGCAACCUGAGGAUUGUGCGGUUUAAUUGGAGUCAACGCCGGG